AUAUAUAUAUAUAUUUAAUGCUGCAAUAAACCUCGAAGUGGCUCUCAGGUGAUCUGUCAAGAGCAUUCCAACCAACCAGCUGAAAUUUUAAAGGGAUUUUCAUAGAAACAACAUAUGUGUAUUUUCAAAAGGAUUACUUUUAUCUAGAGACCAGAUACCCGUCUUAGACUGUAUCUCUGAACACUGCAGUAUAAGAGAGGAGAGUCAGUCUGGAACAGAUGUAUUGUCAUCAAAUAAUUUUUUUAUGACUUCUCAUGAAAAUUAGAACAAAAGUUGUAGCUAAGUUAGCUAAUAGGAAAGUCAUUAACAUCAGCAUAAUUCUGUGGUUUGUAAAGGGCUAGAAGAGUUCCCCUAAUUACAUCAACAGAGCAUGACACGUGUUUUUAAUAGUUGCUUUUUAUGUGUCAGCCCAGCUAUGCAAUUUUACUUGCGUUCUCCUCUACUUUACAAGGUAAAUUAGAAAAGAAUAAAUGAGGCAAACCACACAGAAUCAAGGUCAGGGCAGCAGCAAUCCAGUGUGCCACUUCUUUUAAGCAGUGUUUUCAUAGAAGGUAUUAUGGCAGCUGAACAGCUCAUUUUCCUUUUCAUUAUCUCUUUAUAGAUGAAAUGAUGAAAACUUAGUAGCACAUUUUCCUUCUCCUUUAUAACGUUUUUUCUACAUUCAUUUUGAAGACUUGCAGGUGCUGGGGUUGGAGAAACAAGAAAUUUCUUUUGUUAGAACAGUGAAUUUUGUAUUCACAGCAAGACUUUGAAGACAUACAGCAGAAAAAUAUGAACACACUUUGGUAGUGCAAUUUAUCUGAAUAUUAAUAUUUGUAUUUUUUUAUAAAAGCAGUGCAACAUAAUUUGCAAGAAAAUAGAUCUCCAAAGCUACUAAUUUAUUUACUGUUUUUCAUAUUGUACAGGUGGCCUGUGAAGUUACAAUGUCUGGUUUUAAUUUGUCUCAUAAAUGGACUUGGUUUCUUAGAUUUAGGCCUGAUUUAAGCUUCUCCAGGCUGGGAAUUUAUGGAACAGGCUGAUGAGAAAGGCUCUUAAACUGCACUUGUUUAAACAGAGCAGUUGAGAGUCCACCUGAAGUACCUGUACAGUUAUGUGUGCCACCUUGUGAAAAAAGUGGGAGUAAUUGUCAGUUCACAUAAACACAGGACAAUGGCCUUGCUAGCAUUAAGGAGAUAAGGUGGGAUAUCACAUCACCUUGUGCUGCAAUUGCUCGAUACAGGCUUGCAAGGAAAGAUGAGCAGAGAAGACUAGAGGGUGCAUAGAUGUAGUGCAAGAAACUCUGAUGUACAGGGAUUGUGAGGUCUGAUGAAAGGAGGAAUCAACAUGAGGACAUGACAGUGAGGGUCUGCUGAAGGAUGCUUGAUCAUAGAAAUGAAUGAAGCUGUCUUUAAACAAAUGGAAAAUGUCUCCCAUUUGCAGGCUGGAUUAAGCUACCCAGCACCUGAUGGAAAGUCAAGACGAAUGGCUCAGAAAAUCCAUUAUGUUUCUGAAGUGAUGCUCCACAUGAUACAGGCUGCAUCUGAAGUACUAGGUACGGUUUUAGCCCCACCGUACAAGAGAGAUGCAAAACUGGAAAGUCUGGUCCUAAAUUGUUUGGAGGCUGAACACACAGGCUAUGGGACUUUGGUUUGUGCAACAUGGAUAAGAGAAGGCAAAGAUGAUCCUUUUUUGGUUCUUUUUUCCACCGUAUGGUUAUAGAGAAGAGAGAGAUAAACCAUUACCGGGGAUGUACAGUAAAAGAACUGGAGAAAACGCUGGAUAUGAGGGAAAAAAAUCACAGUGAGGGCAGUUAUACAACAAAGGAGGCUUCUUAGAGAAGUUGUGGAAGCUCCAUCCUUAGAAAUGUUCAAAAAUUAGCCAAACCUGGGGCAAUCUAUGCUAGUGUUGUCCCUGCUUUAGUUGAGAAGUUGGGAGAGCUGAUCUUUAGAUAUCUCUUCCAAUAUAAAUUCUUCAAUGAAAUUAGAUGUUGGAUUAAAAAAUAAUGUGGUAGAGGAGGGGAGCAAAGAUAUGAAAUCAUGCACAGAUGUGUGAUAGGAUAAAUAUUUUUUUCUUAGGAAAUUAAAUUAAACUGAUAAUUUCAAAUGUGUAGACUGGAGAAACAGUCCAAUUUCUAUUUAUGUGGGAGCUAUUACCUACAGUGUUGUUAAGGCCUUCUGUAGCUAUGUUUCUAACAAUGAAACUGUUUUGAUCACUUUCAGCUUAAGAUGAAAUUGUUAGAUCUGAAAUUUCCUAUACUGAAAGUCUUAUCAAACAUAAUUCAGUCAUUUCCAAAAACAAAUGAGCAAAUAAAAGAACUAGAGAAAAUGUUUAUAAACAUUUAAUUAAAUGGCUUUUUGGUGAUGUAUUCAAUUUGGCAGCCUAACAAAAUCUGCACAAAGUUUGCAAAGUCAGAAGUGGCUAGUUCACGUAAUUACAGAAGAGAUUUCUUGGCAAUGAUUUUUUUGGUCUCCAGCAGUCUCUUCAUAAUGAACAUACUCCAUCUCAGAUCUUCAGAAGCAAGCAGAACUUAAGGUAUCAAAAAAGGCUUCCAGCAGGAACGAUGUGGUGAAAGCCCAGGGAGCAGAAAUCAGUGAUGCUGUUUGCAACACAAGAGAGGAAUUUGAGUAAUGUGGCUGAAUGAAGGGCAUACAUAAGAGAGAGUGGAGGUGAAAGGAAGAAGGAAACCUUUGUUGUAAGAGAAUUGGGAGGAUUUAAUGAUCACUGAAGUAUAUUCUUCUCCAGAAAUAGAAACUGAACCCUACUCUCCUUACCUUCCUGUCAAUUCAUAACUUGAAAAAAUUACCGAAUUUUUAGUAAUAGUAUGGUGUAAUAAUAUUCUUUUUCUCACACAGGAUUUCUGACCAGAAUGGAUUAUGUAUGCUGAAUAGGCCAAUCUUGUGAAAGAGACUGUAUCAAUGUCUUCAUCUGAAAAAAAGGAAGGAUACAAAAGGAAGCAGAAGAUAACAGACAGAAAAAUGUGAAAGAGUGGAUAUAUAAAACUGAUAAACACGGACAACUUUAUCUCCUCCCAGUUCCAGUGUGGCAGCCAGAGGAUGUAACUCAGGAGGAAAAAACAUUCAGCUUCUGGGGAGACAUAUCCUAGUCAGCUCACUGGCGCUCAUCAUCACACUAUGCUAAGAGUUGGGGCAUUUGAGCUAAGAGAUGAAAAUGUGCACUUGCUACCAUAAGAAGGCAACUUCAGUCACCAUGAAGUUUGGUCAAGAGCAGAAGGCUUCCUAUGCCAAGUGAUUCAUGAGUAUUGUCAAGGCAUGUUCAUGGCUGCCUAAGCCACACCAUAUAGAUCUUUAAUGAAGACCUCUACAAAACCUCUUGUGUGUUGAGAACUUCAGAGAUGUAGCAGAACAUGCAAGAGAGCUGAACAACAGAGAUAGGAUUCUGUGGCAAACAGGAAAACAGAAGAAAGAGAAAGCGUAAUAGAGAAUUAGG